CCUACGGGAGGCAGCAGUGGGGAAUAUUGCACAAUGGGGGAAACCCUGAUGCAGCGACGUCGCGUGAGUGAUGAAGGAUUUCGGUAUGUAAAGCUCUAUCAGCAGGGAAGUAAAUGACGGUACCUGACUAAGAAGCCCCGGCUAACUACGUGCCAGCAGCCGGGGUAAUACGUAGGGGGCAAGCGUUAUCCGGAUUUUGUGGGUGUAAAGGGGGCGUAGGCGGCGGUGCAAGCCAGAGGUGAAAGGCCGGGGUCCAACCCCGGGACUGCAUUUGGAACUGGACUGUUAGAGUGUCUGAGAGGCAGGCGGAAUUCCUAGGGUAGCGGUGAAAUGCGUAGAUAUUAGGAGGAACACCAGUGGCGAAGGCGGCCUGCUGGACGAUGACUGACGUUGAGGCUCGAAAGCGUGGGGAGCAAACAGGAUUAGAUACCCGGGUAGUC
rnacentral:rRNA from 1 species